GUCCUUCCAUUCGUGGAGAUGGAACAUACCAGAGUGGGCAAGAUACUAAGUCUUCUUAAUGUUUUCUACUCUUAGGGUGUGCUUAAAUACCCGGAGUGGAGGGGGAUGGGUCUGGAUGGAAUUGGAAGUUUCAUACUCUACAUACAUACAUCGUCCGCUUAAAAAGGUGACUUUGCCGGUUUCUGCCUCAGAGUGUUGUGACAAGGGCAAAGACAGAAGCCGCACGAGAUCAAAGGAUCCCCUGGUACAGUGGUACCCAUGGAACACAUUGUCUUGAGUCAUGCAUUAAAUCCAGGGCUGUCUAAUGUGUGGCCUAGGAAUUGUAA